GUAAGAUGUGUGUGGGAAGUUAUGGAGACAAAAAGAGAGAAAAAGUGAAGACAAAAAAAAUUAACAUUUAGUGAAGUUAAACAAAAAGUAACUUAAUGGCUGAAGUUUCUUGCUGGUGCUCAUUGUGUGGAUGGUCGGUUUCAUUAUAGGGCAUCAGCUAUCAUCUGGCCCCUUAGGUUUGCCCUUGAAAGAAAACAUGCUGGCCGGCCUCCCUCCAGACAAGCCCUGUGAGUGCCUUUGUGAGGACAAAAUCUUCAUGCUAAUCCAUCCUUCUAUGGGGAACAGCAAAGAAAGGAACAAAGGGUUUGCAGGCUGGCACUGGCCCAGAGACCUCACUUUGAGUAGCACUAAAAAAGUAACAGCUUCAACCUAUGAUGAUGACGCCAGCAGAUAAUCCCUCCACCUUCCACCUCAAGACAGCUGUGUGUGCUAUGAAUGCUCAUUUGAGAGCCACAGAAGAGUAAAGUGGGUAGACUUCGAGGCUGAUAGAAGACACCAAGCCCAUGAUCUGUGUGGCAGGAGUGACAGACUUGCUGGAAGGAUGCAAGGCGGUAGGAAGCGAGGGCAGGCUGGGUGAACCCACGAGUGUCUUAUGGUUCUGAUCAAGUCAAGAGAGAGACAAGGACCAGCAUUUCAAGUGUUACAGACUUCUGCCUCAGAAACCAUCAAUGACCAGAAGAGCCUGGAAGAACACAAGGACACCCCAUGGAUCUCAUGACUUGUCUUCCUCUCACCCACAUAAGAGGUCACCGCUACUACAAACUAUGCAUUGAGUGACUAUGGGCCAAGCAAUGUCAUAGGCCCUAGUGAUGCAGUAAUAAACAAGACAGAGUUGAUCUCUGCCCUCAUGGCAGCUCUCUACAGCUAUGGAAAGGACUUCCAGCUACUUAAACUUUCUUGUCUCAGGUUAGUAUAUGUUUAAGAGUCAAGCCUGAAAUAGAAAAGGAAAAUAAAUUCUGGAUGUAAAUACCACCUUUCUGUAAAAAUCACUCCCCAAUCCCGUCCUACAGCAUGUUCAUUUGGCACAUUGCUCUAUGCGCUCUAUGUGCACCUUUGCUUGAUGGAAAGUCUAAUCAGCUAUGCGACUGUGACGAUGAAGAAAUCACUAUUUUCAAUAAACGGAGCCAAGACUAUUUUUAAAAACAGUUUUCCUAAGCUUAAUUAUUGUCAGAUACCUUUCUACUGA
rnacentral:lncRNA from 1 species